rnacentral:rRNA from 1 species
UACGGAGGGGGCUAGCGUUGUUCGGAAUUAUUGGGCGUAAAGCGCACGUAGGCGGUUCGUUAAGUCAGGGGUGAAAUCCUGGAGCUCAACUCCAGAACUGCCUUCGAUACUGGCGAUCUUGAGUCCGGAAGAGGUGAGUGGAACUCCUAGUGUAGAGGUGGAAUUCGUAGAUAUUAGGAAGAACACCAGUGGCGAAGGCGGCUCACUGGUCCGGUACUGACGCUGAGGUGCGAAAGCGUGGGUAGCAAACAGG